UAAGCUGAUUCAAAUCGUUUAUAUUUCCUAAUAAAUAACACUCAUUACCACUUGAAAAUUAAAGGCAGUAAUUGACUGGUUGAUGCUUAUUUAUUCUCGCAUGGCGGAGCAAUGAUAUUUGUUAUAACAGCGGUGUUUCAUUUCAUUUUCUUUGUUCUCGCUUAUGGUAUGAAUGUGUUAUGUGACUGUGCCGUUAAUCACUUUUUAAAAAAAUGUCUGGGUUACAUAUCUUGCCUAAAAGCAUACGCAAAAGGUUGCUGUACGAUUCCCAUCCGUAGGAUUCAAACCCAAAUUUGCAGUGACUGGUGGUGCUUAUCUCUUACAGAAAGUAAUGAAAUCGUCACUGUUAAUUUGCGUAUAAUCACUAUUAAAUAUUGCUGUAGCUUCUGUUUCAUAAAUUAGUUUAGCAUGUUUUAUCUUGGAGUUUUUAGGAAGAUUGAAUAAUUAUCUCCAUGCUUCUACAGUUAGAUAUAACAGUGCAACCUCUCAUAAAGAAAUGAAUUUAUCCGCUCAUAAACAUUGAGUUUAAAAAUAGUUUAGUGGAGAAGUUAAACACAACAAUUCGAUUUAUCAAACAGAUAAAAUGUAAAAGCAAUUGCACUAUCAUUUUCCGCAUUGCAGUCAGGUACAACAAGCUAAAAUUCUUCAUCCUAUGUUGCCUGUAAAGUAUUGUAUACGCCCAACUUAACACCGACGAUCCCAUCGCUUUGUGGCAGCAAUCAGUACUGCCAACCCCCCAGAAGGUUGGUAAGAAGUCUACACUCCAAAUAGGAAUCGUAUGGUGUAAAUCUUACAAAUGGGAAUCGUAUGCUGUAAAUCUUACAAAUGGGAAUCGAAUGGUGUGAAACUUACAAAUGGGAAUCGUAUGGUGUAAAUCUUACAAAUGGGAAUCGAAUGGUGUGAAACUUACAAAUGGGAAUCGUAUGGUGUAAAUCUUACAAAUGGGAAUUACCCACACUCAACACGCUCAAUAGUAUGAUGCUAGCCCUUCAAUUACUCUGCCACAUAAUAGUUACACAUGGUGUCAUCAACUACUCAUACCUACCAAAAUUAAAUUUGUUUGCCUGUUAUUUGUUUUAUCAAAUGUAAAAAAUAGCUAUAUGGUAAUUAUAAAUGUGUGGGGAGAUUAUUUUUAAUUAACUGUUAAAAGUUCAUAUAAAAUAUUGUCAUCUAGUGGGGAAUAUUCUUUUCCAAUUGCAUAAUUUGUAGUCUAUAUACUUUAAUAUGAAUAGUUUUACACAAGUAUCAUAGCCAUAGGGUAAUAUUUAUUAAUUAUUCUGUCUUAUAUAAGAUAUAAGAACAUAUGGAGCACUUUGGAAUAAUUUGUGCAAGCGAAAAAAACAAAUGGAAUGAGAAGGCAAAAAUUAGUACAGAUGGCAGCAAAGAAUUGACAGAAAGGCAAAGAAAACUUUAAGAGAAAAACAUUUAAAAAUAAUCAUGAAUUCAGUAAGUGAUGGUUCGGGUUGUUGACAAGUAUGUAAGAGUAAUUUGGAAUUAACAAUUAUAUAUAACCAGAAUUGUGGUUGUAUUCAUUUUUAUGUUUAGUGCACUGCAUUGGAACAGCUGGAUGUGAAGAUAGGGGGGUUAAGCUACCAUCAAGGAAAUAUGCUUAUUUUUGGUUCCUCUGAUGGUGUAGCUUUUUUUUCUGAUCAAGAAAAACAAAUAGACUUUAUUUUAGGCACGUCAGAAAAUCAUGAAAAUAGUAAGUCAGAUCAAGUGUUCAGCUACCCUUUCUGUUUAUAUUAAACAGUGUAAAACAUGCACAAACUAGAUAAAACUAAAACAUGCAUUUUCUAGUUACAAUUUGUGAAACAUUCAUUCAUUUGUUUUAGAUUAAAAAAAAAACACAAAACCAGAACUCGGCAAGCUAAGAAAAAUGAUCCAAGAACUGUUUAAUGAGAAAUAUUAUUUUGACCGAACUUUAUCUCCAGCUUGAAAAUCACUGCAACUCUUAACAGAUGAAUCUUGAAUGAAGAACAUGGAUGAAUGGUGAGGUGCAAUCUUUCUUGUACCAGCCGCUAAUCGCCUUACAAGACCAAAAUUGCCAUCAAGGCAGAAUGUAUCAUCACAUGUUGGAUCCUAUUAAUUACAUAAAAAGAAUAAACAGUUUUUAUAAAAAAUAAUCUUAAUAGUUUACCCCAUCACAGGCAGGACAGUUUGUCCAAUUGUCAUUAUCUACUGCCCCAACCCCUACAUUU